rnacentral:rRNA from 1 species
UAGGGAAUUUUUCACAAUGAGCGAAAGCUUGAUGGAGCAAUGCCGCGUGAACGAUGAAGGUCUUUAAGAUUGUAAAGUUCUUUUAUUUGGGAAGAAUGACUUUAGCAGGUAAUGGCUAGAGUUUGACUGUACCAUUUUGAAUAAGUGACGACUAACUAUGUGCCAGCAGUCGCGGUAAUACAUAGGUCGCAAGCGUUAUCCGGAUUUAUUGGGCGCAAAGCAAGCGCAGGCGGAUUGAAAAGUCUGGUGUUAAAGGCAGCUGCUUAACAGUUGUAUGCAUUGGAAACUAUUAAUCUAGAGUGUGGUAGGGAGUUUUGGAAUUUCAUGUGGAGCGGUGAAAUGCGUAGAUAUAUGAAGGAACACCAGUGGCGAAGGCGAAAACUUAGGCCAUUACUGACGCUUAGGCUUGAAAGUGUGGGGAGCAAAUAGGAUUAGAUACCCUAGUAGUCCACACCGUAAACGAUAGAUACUAGCUGUCGGGGCGAUCCCCUCGGUAGUGAAGUUAACACAUUAAGUAUCUCGCCUGGGUAGUACAUUCGCAAGAAUG